CCUGUCCACCUGUGUCCAGUAUGCCUGUGGUAUCGAGGCUGAAGUGGUGGGGAAACCCUCCCCUGAGUUCUUCAGGUCUGCUCUGCAAGCCAUAGGGGUGGAAGCCCACCAGGCCAUCAUGAUUGGCGAUGACAUCGUGGGUGACGUUGGCGGUGCCCAGCAGUGCGGAAUGAGAGCUCUGCAGGUGCGGACCGGGAAGUUCAGGUCAGUGCCCUCGGCCGCUUCAUUUAUACCUGCCCUUCUGUGGACCCUCCCAGGGCAACUGCCUUCUUGUUUUGUUCUGUGUCCAAACAAAGGGAAUUUUCCUUCUAAACAG
rnacentral:lncRNA from 1 species